rnacentral:rRNA from 1 species
CGCUGGAAACUUAAGCAUAUCAAUAAGCGGAGGAAAAGAAACCCAACAGGGAUUACCUCAGUAACGGCGAGUGAAGCGGUAACAGCUCAAAUUUGAAAUCUGGCUCUUUCAGGGUCCGAGUUGUAAUUUGUAGAAGAUGCUUCGGGUGUGGCUCCGGUCUAAGUUCCUUGGAACAGGACGUCAUAGAGGGUGAGAAUCCCGUAUGUGACUGGCUGCCUCCGCCCAUGUGAAGCUCUUUCGACGAGUCGAGUUGUUUGGGAAUGCAGCUCAAAAUGGGUGGUAAAUUUCAUCUAAAGCUAAAUAUUGGCCAGAGACCGAUAGCGCACAAGUAGAGUGAUCGAAAGAUGAAAAGCACUUUGGAAAGAGAGUUAAACAGUACGUGAAAUUGUUGAAAGGGAAGCGCUUGCAAUCAGACUUGCACGCUGCCGAUCAUCCGGGGUUCUCUCCGGUGCACUCGGUUGCGUUCAGGCCAGCAUCGGUUUGGGUGGUUGGAUAAAGGCCUUGGGAAUGUAGCUUCUUUCGGGGAGUGUUAUAGCCCUCGGUGCAAUGCAGCCUACCUGGACCGAGGACCGCGCUUCGGCUAGGAUGCUGGCGUAAUGGUUGUAAGCGACCCGUCUUGAAACACGGACCAAGGAGUCUAACAUCUAUGCGAGUAUUUGGGUGUUAAACCCAUAUGCGUAAUGAAAGUGAACGGAGGUGAGAACCCUUAAGGGUGCAUCAUCGACCGGUCCUGAUGUCUUCGGAUGGAUCUGAGUAAGAGCAUAGCUGUUGGGACCCGAAAGAUGGUGAACUAUGCCUGAAUAGGGUGAAGCCAGAGGAAACUCUGGUGGAGGCUCGCAGCGGUUCUGACGUGCAAAUCGAUCGUCAAAUUUGGGUAUAGGGGCGAAAGACUAAUCGAACCAUCUAGUAGCUGGUUCCUGCCGAAGUUUCCCCUC